CAACAACGCUAGGGGUCCUGCGCCAUCAAACGCGCGGGUGAGAAAUACCCUCCGAACCUGAUCUGGAUAAUGCCAGCGAAGGGAAGCUACAGAGUCCGCGU
rnacentral:ncRNA from 2 species